rnacentral:tRNA from 1 species
GCCCUGGUGGAGAAAUGGUUAAGCACUUGGCUGCUAACCGAAUGAUUGGUGGUUCAAAUCCACCCAGUGGCU